UACAGAGGUCUCAAGCGUUGUUCGGAUUCAUUGGGCGUAAAGGGUGUGUAGGUGGCGCCGUAAGUCGGGUGUGAAAUUUCGGAGCUUAACUCCGAAACUGCAUUCGAUACUGCGGUGCUUGAGGACUGGAGAGGAGACUGGAAUUCAUGGUGUAGCAGUGAAAUGCGUAGAUAUCUGGAGGAACACCGGUGGCGAAGGCGGCAUCCUGGACCAACACUGACGCUGAGUGAGCGAAAGCCAGGGGAGCAAACGGG
rnacentral:rRNA from 1 species